UACGGGGGGGAGCAAGCGUUGUUCGGAUUUACUGGGCGUAAAGGGCGCGUAGGCGGUCAGCACAAGUCAGUUGUGAAAUCUCCGGGCCUUAACUCGGAAAGGUCAACUGAUACUGUGCGACUAGAGUGCAGAAGGGGCAACUGGAAUUCUCGGUGUAGCGGUGAAAUGCGUAGAUAUCAGGAGGAACACCGGUGGCGAAGGC
rnacentral:rRNA from 1 species